AGACAAAAUCUCACGCCACUACCUCGCCAGCAACCCCCUCCAUCGAAAAGCGUUUCGACGCUUGACAUGCUCGUUCUGCCAUAGAGCGCGGCUCCACUCUAUUUGGGGCCUGCCGCAGAGGCACCACCCGCGUGGUGCGAAGCAUGCCGUAGGCACGCGCGCUACCGCAAAUGCGCCGACUCGGCCAUCUGAUUACGGCCCGCGCCACACACUCUGCGCACCCACACGCCUCGCGGGUCGCCUCACAGCCGCGCCGACUAUGCCGGCCGCCAUCCGGUGCAUCCCCCUCGGGGUGGCACCCAGGUUUUCCUCCACUCUGUAGGCAGUGCAAGCGGCGGGUUUGAUGAAGUCGAGUUUAGGCUGACAGCUUGCCCAACGCACGGAUGGCACAGACGCGUUCGCUGCCGCGGGUCGCUCCAACGCAGCGCCAAUCUAGGACCUGACCGCCGGCACACCCGUAACGAUACACCGCUCUGAUCUUCCCACGUCGUCGGUGCUUAAGCGCGUCGCCACCGGAAGUGGGUGGGUGGGGGUGGGGGGCUGCAUGGCCCAUCCUCAUAAGAGGGUGGGAGUGCGCUGGACCGUGCGAUACCGCGCACGGGAGGGGGAGGGGGGUGUCCCUCCCGCCUCCCGGUUAUGAGGGUUUUUGGAAGGAGCGCGCGUGUGCGCAGAUAUUGGCCCCCCUCCCCCUCCUCCUCUUUUCUCUCAUCGUGUUUUGCUUUUUGCUGUUCUCACCGCCCGACAGCGCGGGUGCGGCCUUGGCACCUCUUCCCUCCGUAAAGGGCCCCUCACCCAUCCCUCGCUGUCUAUUGCUCUUGCAGCUCGUGUUAAGGGGCAUUCCUGCGUUACUUGGCGGCUCCCGCUCACUCCUUCAGUCGCGGAACGCGGGGGUGUGCGUCACUUCACAGUUUGCGCGGCGUGUUACACGUGCACGGGCAGGAUGCACUGCGCGCAAAGCUGGAAAAAAAACGGGGGAAAGCGACAGGGCGACGUGCACGACACGGAAGUCAGCGCAGCACGCGAAAAGGCGAGAGACAGUGGGUACCCGCCGCUAAUGUGCACCACCUGCCGGCGUUUUCCCGGUCGGGGCGUGUUUUGUUGUUCCUGCACUAUACAUAUAUGUGUACACGUAUAUAUGUGCUAGGCGUGGUCUCUGUCCUCUUGCGCAGGUCGUUUCGGCCUCUCCUCUGAGCAUGGUAUCUUCCGUGUGCUUUUUUGUGUGCUUUUGUGUGCGUGCGUUGUUCUCUUCCCCCCCCCCCUCCCCCCGUGACGGCUUUCUUUUGCUUUGGCUCGUUGCGGCGGCUGGGUGCAUGAAAAGGGUCUUGUUGCAUUC
rnacentral:misc_RNA from 1 species